GCCUGGGUGGCUCAGUCGGUUGGGCGGCCGACUUCGGCUCAGGUCAUGAUCUCGCGGGUUGUGGGUUCGAGCCCCGCAUCGGGCU
rnacentral:tRNA from 1 species